AUGUCUGAUCUUGACGUUCAGAUCCCAACUGCCUUUGACCCCUUUGCCGAGGCGAAUGCUGGGGACGCUGGUGCAGCUGCCGGAUCAAAAGACUACGUUCAUGUACGCAUCCAGCAGCGUAAUGGUCGCAAGAGCCUGACCACUGUCCAGGGUCUGAAGAAGGAGUUCAGCUACAGCAAGAUCCUCAAAGACCUCAAGAAAGAGUUUUGCUGCAAUGGUACAGUUGUCCAGGACACAGAACUUGGACAGGUCAUUCAACUCCAGGGUGAUCAGAGGAAGAACGUCUCAAACUUCCUUGUCCAGGCCGGCAUUGUGAAGAAGGAACACAUCAAGAUUCAUGGUUUCUGA
rnacentral:rRNA from 1 species